rnacentral:lncRNA from 1 species
UUUAUGAACACCGUUGAUCCUACGCGUGGUCUGUCAAAGAAAGAAAAAAAAAGGUCCUUAGUUUUCUUCCAAGAAAAAUUUGUGCCGCAGCUGGGAAGUAGAGAGAGACAUAGAAUUUGGAAUGGACGAAUUGAAGUCAGUGACCCUAAAAUCAGCAGAAAAUAUGGUGGAAAAUGCAAAGGAGACACUUAAAAGAUCAAAUAUAGUGCAAAAUUGGAUGCAAUCCCCAAUAGCCUUUACCAUUUCAAUUGGAUUGGUGCUAAUUUUCUUUUACCUAUGUGGUUGCUGCUGCAAAGGCAAAAAAGGAAAUGUGAAAAUGGUGAAUAAAGCUCCAGGCCGUAGGCAUAAUGCAAGGAUAUCAAGGUAUUACAGAUAAAAAUUUACUCUCCACAUUUACCAUGGUAAAGUGAUAUGUAUUGUUACAUUAGUUUUUAAUUAUUUGAUUUGAUAUAAAUACUCCGUGUUUAUAUGCUUUUGAGAACAUUCCGAUAUCUUAUUUCCGCAAUCUCAAUUCCAAGAAAAGCUAAUUUAGAUAUUCUGCGGUUUUCUCAGCUUGAUUGAUCUCAGCUUAAUGCUUUUUGCCAUGUGAUUAUUACCUGUUUGGCCAAGUUUCUAAAAUCAGUUUAUUAUGAAAUUUUUAUUAAAAGUGUUUUUCUCAAAAAUGGUUUUGGUGAUAAGUAGUUGUGUUUUGCUAAUUAAUUUAAAAAGUACUUGGAGCAGUAAUUAGUAUUUGGCCAAACUUUUAAAAAUUGAUUCUAAGUGUAUUUUUCUCAAAAAUAUUUUUUAAAAAAAUUGCUUUUGCAGAGAAGUUACUUUGUUUUGCUUCUCUAAAAUUGCUUCUGUGUCUACACAAAAGUAAUUUUUUUCCUUUUAAAAUCUUGGCCAAACACUUUAAUUUUAAAAAAGGAAUUACUUUUUUUUCGGGACUGGAGAAGCUUGGCCAAAUACGCUAUAUGUCAAAUAAGCCUUAUCAUGUAUAUUUGAUUUUGGUGAGAGUAUGGCAUCUCAUAAGGCGAUUUGGCUACGAGAAGUUGAGAACAUACGUAGUGUAUGUUACGUUGUGCAAUUAGUCUUGUGAUUUUGUAGAACAUUAAAAGAGUUGCAAUUUUACCUAUGCCGUUAGGAGUUGUUGUGUUGGCUUACGGGUUGGGGGGAGUGGGGGGAGGUGGGAUAUACUGCAAAGAUUGUUUAUGCAAGGAUUAAAAAUAAAAGAAUUGUUAUGCACUGAGUAAUAAUGAACGGAUAUAUAUAAAUUACUUAUUUUCAUGGGCAUCUUUAGGGGUGUGCAUUCUAAUCGGUUUAUCGAUAAAUCGAAUCGAUUAUUUGUUAUCAAUUUAACGAUAUCGAUUUAUCGAUUUAUCGAUUUAUCGAUUUCGAUUUCAAAUUUUUCCUUAUCGAGUUAUCGAUUUCGAUUUCGAUUCUGUCCUUUUCGGUUUAUCGAUAAACCGAUAACAUACACUAUUUUUUAAAUAUUUUAUAAAAAAAAUUAUUUAUUUUUUUAAAUUUUUUAACCCUUAUUUUAUAAUACCAUUUCCUUUAACCUAAGUCCCUAGCUAUUAUUUCCUCUACCACAUUUAAGGAAUGAUCAUAUUUAAAGCUCAAAGGAAUAAAGUUCAAAUUAAUGAAAAAUAAAAUUAGCCGUGAUGAUAUAUUUUAUUUUUUUAUAGCGUUGCAGUGUUGGUGGCAUACAUUUGAUCCCUUACUUUAAUGUCGUUUCAUGUGCUUGUUGACACAAUAUUUAUGUUAUAAAUGAUGCUCUUCUUAUCUUAGCUUCUUUUUGUCCAUAUUAGUUAGGCGUGUUUGUAGCGAUAUACUUUUUGUGAAAUCCCGAAAAUUUUCUUAUUGGUGUAAUCUAUAACCGAAUCGAUAAGCCCCAAAAAUCAAUAAAUCGAAAUCGAAAAAAUCGAAACCUUAUUGUAAUGAUAAUGAUAAGCAUAUGUUCAAAUCGAUAAUCGAUAAAUAAUUAUCGAUAAGGGUCAAAAUCGAAUCGAUAAAUCGAAUGCACACCCCUAGGCAUCUUUUCCUUUAAGUAAUUUAAUUCUCGCAUUGCUAAUAUAUAUAUUAAAGAAAUUCAUAAAAAAUAAAAUAUCUUGUAUGAUUGUACAAGUACAAUUUCUUAACUUUCAAAAGUAAAAAAUUUAAAAUUUCUUAAAAAAAUAUAUCAGACUACACAUUUUACCUUCCUAACAAUAAAUAACUUAUAAGCUUUGUCAGUAAUAUAAUUUAAAAUAUUACUCUUUCAUAAACAAAUGCAAAAUACUUUUUAAAUAGCAAAAUCAUAAAGGUAUGAUAAUUUUGAAAAACAUAGAGCUAAGGCAUAAAGAUCACGUGAUUUGGCUAUGUCUUUUGAGAAAAAAUGUUAAUGUGAUUUUCACCCUCAUGAUAUUCUCAAUUGGUAUAUAUGCAAUAUUAUAACUCCAUAUUUGAGGUACUCAUAUUCCUUUAGAUAAAUAGAACUUUAUUAUUUGUUAAAGAAUUUUGAGGAUCCACAUCGCUAAUUAGGGAAUUUGACAUAUUAUUUGCUUAAGAACCUGUAACGAUCCGACCCGUCGUCUCAUGAUCUUCGUCUUGUUUUCCCUGUUCUAUGCUUCUCUAUGUUUCAUUAUAUAUGUUUGGUGAAUUUGAGGUAAUUCGGAUACAGUUCAGAUAGAAAUGAGACAAUUAGUCUCUUUAAGAGAAGGUUAGUUUGGAAAAAAUCAACCGGGUGUUGACUUAUGAGUUAGAAGGCUCGGAAUAUAUUUUCGAUGAUUCGACUAGUUUCGGGUGAUGAUUUAAGGCUUAGGGGUGCAAUCAGAAUUUAAUUUGGAGGUAUGGUGUAGAAUUAGACUUGAAUUAGCUAAGUCUGAAUUUUGGCGAAUUCCGGUUGAUAGGUGAGAUUUUGAUCCGAGGGUCGGAAUUGAAUUCCGAGAGUUUAAGUAGCUCCGUUAGGUAAUUUUGGAUAUGUGUGCAAAGUUUCAGGUCAUUCGGAGGUGUUAAGGUUGGGUUUUUGGUUGAAUGAGAAUUCUCAAAGUUUUAGUUUAACUUAAGCCUUAAUUUGAGGAAAACUUCGCGAAUUUGAUGUUAACAAUAGUGUUUCAUGGAUCGAGCAAUUUUGAAGGAAGUAUUAGAACGUAUCUAUGCUUUUGGUUGAGGUCCCGAGGGCCACGGGGUGGUUUCGGAAGGUUGAACGGGGAGUCUGAAUGUUCGUUUUUGCUACAGAAAUGCAGUAGCUUUCCAAGUCAUGUUUGGCCUUUGCGUUCGCAGGGAGCCUCGUGUUUGCAUAGGCCUGGGAUCCAGUGGCCUUCGCGUUCGCGUGGGCUGGACGCGUUCGCGUAGGGGUCGAAUGGGAAGGACCUGGCCUGGUGCUUCGCGAUCACAUGAAGGGGUCGCGUUCGCGUAGAAGGAGGAGCCCAGACCUUCGCGUUCGCAUGAAGGCAACGCGUUCGUGAGGGUAACGUUUGGAAGCUGAAAGUUUGGCCAUAGUGAACGCGGAGGGGCCACGCGUUCGCGAAGAAGAAAAUCAGGCCCAGCGGAGUUUGGUCAUCGCGGACGCGAGGGGCCAUCGCGUUCGCGAAGAAGGAUUUUCAUCUGGGCAGAAUGCUUUCAAGUGAUAUUUCAUCCGCGACCCAUAUUAUAUUUCCACCAUUUUUACUCUGCCAAGAGAGUUUUUUGGUCGAUUUGAAGAGGUUUUUCGACGGGUAUCCAUUGGAGGUAAGUCUCUUCACUUAGAAACAUCAUUUUAUUGAAGAAACAACACUUAAAUUUAUGAAAAUGGGUUGAAAUUAUGAAGAACUAGGGCUUGAUUUUGAAAACAAAUUUUUAGGAUUUGAAAGGCCAUUUUAUUUCUGAUUUUGGUAAACUUUAUAUGUACAGACUCGCGGCGAGACGAGGACUCUGUUGAUGUGACUCUCAUAAUUUUUCAAGAAGUGGGCCCGGGGCUCGGGUUUUCCCAACUUCGUUAAUUUUAGUGUUUUCGAGUAAUUUCGAUUGUGUUAUGUUUCUUUAGCAUAUAGUAAUGUAUUAGUUGUGAUUUUGACUAGGUUCGACGCGCGAGGAGGUCGAUUCAAGAUGAAAGGGCACUACAGACUAGUCUACGAUUGGUUUGAGGUGGGUAAUAGAUGUAGAUGAUGACCUGAGACUUUGAAACCCCGGUGACCUAAAAAUCACCAAGUUGGUAAAACCUGAGCCCCAGUCACACUUCUAGAAAAAUUAUGAAAGUCACAUCAACGGAUUCCUUGUUUCGCCAUGAGUCCGUACAUAUAAAGUUUACCAAAAACGGAGUUCAAAUGGCCCAUCAAAUCCUCAAAAUUCAUUUUCAAAACCAAGCAGUAGUUCUUCACAGUUUCAACCCACUUUCAUGAAUUUGAGUGUUGAUUCUUCGAUCAAAAUUGUAUUUCUAAGUGAAGAGACUUACCUCCAAUCAAUACCCAUCGAAAACCCUCAUCAAAUCGGUCAAAAAGCUCUCUUGGUUGAGUAAAAAUGGUGUAAAAGUGAUAUGGGUCGCGGAUGAAAUAACAUAUAAAACCCUUCUGCCCAGGCGAAUUUUCUUCUACGCGAACGCGGUGCCCAACUGCGAACGCGAAGGACAUAGCAUCCUCCUUCAUCGUGAACGCGGUCGCCAGACGUGAACCCGAAGAACACGGGCCAGAGGGUCCCCAACCCCUUCUACGCGAACGCGUCUAUCCCACACAAACGCAAAGGGCAACUUCCUUGGAAUCCAUCACUCAUCCAAACACCCCACACAAACGCGACCACCACACACGAACACGAAAGCCAAGGGACCUCAGGCAUACGUGAAAGCGGAGCUGCCUUGCGAACGCGAAGGCCAAACUGGUCUGCAACAGCUGCUGCCAUUUCUGCAGCAAUUCUAAGGUCCGAACUCCCCGUUCGACCAUCCGAAACCACCCCGAGGCCCUCGGAACCUCAACCAAAAUCACAAACAUGUUCUACUACCUCAUUCAAACUUGUUCGGGCCAUAAAAACACUACCAUUAACAUCAAUAUCAUCAAGUUACCACGGAUUCAAGCCUAAGUAAAAGUAAAACUUCUGAAAUUUGCACUUGAUCGAAAAUCCAACCUAAAAACCUUCUAAUGACCUUAAACGUUUCUCGAAUAUACAAAAUCACCUAACAAAGCUAUUGCAACUCUCGAAAUUACAUUCCGACCCUCGGGUCAAAUCUCACCUAUCAACCGGAAUUCGCUAAAAUUCAAACUUAGCCAAUUCAAGCCUAAUUCUACACCGGACCUCCAAAUUCAAUUCUGAUUGCACUCGUAAGUCAUAAAACAUCACCCAAAACUAGUCGAAUCAUCGGAAAUCCAUUCCGAGUCCUCUAACUCAUAAGUCAAUGUCCGAUUGACUUUUCCAAGCUAACCUUCUCUUAAAGAGACUAAUUGUCUUAUUUCUAACCGAACUCUAUCCGAAUUACUUCAAAUUCACCAAACACAUUUAAUGAAACAUAUAGAAGCAUAAAACGGGGAAAACAGGGUGGUAACUCACGUGACGAUGGGUCGGGUCGUUACAUCCUCCCCAACUUAAACAAACUCUUGUCCGCGAGCGGGUCAAGAAACAUACCUAGAGUCUCAAACAAGUGAGGAUAUCUGCUCUGUAACUCCUGCUCGGUCUCCCAAGUGGCCUCCUCCAUGUGCCGACCUCUCCAAUGUACCUUCACUGAAGCUAUGUCCUUUGAUCUCAACUUUCGAACCUGACGACCGAAAAUAGCCACUGGCUCAACAUCGUAGGUAAAAUCCUCAUCCAAUUGAAUCAUUCUAAAGUCUAAUACAUGAGACAGGUCGCCAACGUACUUCCGGAGCAUAGAAACAUGGAACACCGGAUGAACUACUGACAAGCUAGGUGAAAAUGCAAGCAAAUAGGCCACCUCCCCCAUUCCUCCUAAGUAUCUCAAAGGGUCCAAUGAACCGUGGACUAAGCUUCCCCUUCUUUCCAAACCUCUUAGCGCCUUUCAUAGGCGAAACCUUCAACAAGACCUUCUCGCUCACCGCAUAAGAUACAUCUCGAACCUUCCGGUCAGCAUAACUCUUCUGACGCGACUGAGUUGUACGAAGUCUCUCCUGGAUCACAUUCACCUUCUCUAAGGCAUCUUGAAUUAACUCUGUCCCCAAAAAUCUAGCCUCGCCGGGCUCAAACCAACCAACCGGAGAUCUACACCGUCUCCAUAUAAGGUCUCAUACAGCGCCAUUAGAAUGUUGGAUUGAUAGUUGUUGUUAUAUGCAAACUCCGCAAGUGGCAAGAACUCAGCCCAAGAACCUCCAAAAUCAAUAACAUAGGCACGCAACAUGUCCUCCAAUAUCUGGAUAGUGUGCUCGGACUAUCCGUCCAUCUAAGGAUGAAAUGUCGUGCUCAACUGUACUUGUGUGCCCAACUCCGGAUGAAAAGUCCUCCAGAACGGGGAAGUGAACUGAGUACCCCUGUCUGAGACAAUGGAAACUGGGACCCCGUGCAACCGUACAAUGUCCCGGAUGAAAAUCUCUGCUAAUUUCUCCGAAGAAUAGGUAGUACAUACCGGAAUGAAGUGCGCGGGCUUGGUCAGCCUAUGUACGACCAUCCAAAUCGAAUCAAACCUCUUCGAGGUACGAGGAAAACCACUCACAAAAUCCAUAGUAAUCUUCUCACAUUUCUACUCCGGAAUAUCCAUCCGCUGAAGUACACCCCCGGUUCUCUGAUGCUCAUAUUUGACCUGCUAACAGUUGAGACACCGAGCCACAUAAUUGGCAAUAUCCUUUUUCAUUCUCCUUCACCAGUAAUGCUGUCUCAAAUCCUGGUACAUCUUCGCGACACUCGGAUGAAUUUAAUACCGCGAGUUGUGGGCCUCCUCUAAUAUCAACUACCGGAGCCCAUCCACAUUUGACAUGCAAAUUCGGCCCUGCAUCCGCAACACACCAUCAUCUCCAAUGGUCACAUCUCUUGCAUCAUCUUGUUGGACCAUGUCCUUCAAGACAAGCAAAUACGGAUCAUCAUAUUGGCGCUCUCUAAUGAGGUCAUACAAAGAAGAUCGAGAAACCACAAAAGCCAACACCCAACUGGGCUCAGAAAUAUCUAACCUCACCAUCUGAUUAGACAAGGCCUGAACAUCAACUGCAAGGGGACUCUCCCCAAUUGGAAUGUACGCCAAGCUACCCAUAUUAAUCCUCUUCUAGCUCAAAGCAUUGGCCAUAACAUUGGCCUUCCCGAGAUGAUACAAAAUGGUAAUAUCAUCAUUGAGUAACUCAAGCCAUCUCCGCUGCCUAAAAUUAAUAUCCUUCUGCUUAAACAAGUGUUGAAGACUGCGAUGGUCUAUGUAUACCUCACAAGAUAUGCCAUAUAUAUAAUGCCUCCAAAUCUUCAAGGCAUGAACAAUAGCAGCCAACUCUAAGUCAUGAACAAGGUAGUUCUUCUCAUGGGGCUUUAAUUGACGAGAAGCAUAAGCAAUAACUUUACCCUCCUGCAUAAAUACACAACCGAUCCCAACUCUCGAAGAAUCACAAUACACCGUGUAAGAAUCUGAAGUUGAUGGUACUACUAGCAGUGGAGCUGUGGUCAAAGCCGACUGGAGCUUCUGAAAGCUCUCCUCGCACUCAUUUGACAACACGAAUGGAGCAUUCUUCUGUGUCAACUUCGUCAAAGGCGAAGAAAAAGAUGAAAAGCCCUGCACGAAUCUACUGUAAUAACUUGCCAAACCGAGGAAACUCCGAAUCUCAAUAGCUGAGGACGGUCUUGGCCAACUCUGCACUGCCUCAUUCUUCUUUGGGUCCACCUGAAUACCAUUACUGGACACGAUGUGUCCCAGAAACGCCACUAAGCCAAAACUCACACUUGGAGAACUUUGCAUAAAGCUUCUCCCCUCUCAACCUCUGCAAUACCACCCUCAAGUGUUGUGGGUGAUCCUCCAAGCUACACGAGUACACCAGGAUGUCAUCAAUAAACACAAUCACAAAUGAAUCCAGAUACGGCCUAAAUACAUUGUUCAUCAAGUGCAUGAACGUGGCUGGGGCAUUAGUCAAUUCGAAAGACAUAACCAGAAACUGAUAGUGCCCAUAUCUCGUCGUGAAAGCCGUCUUCAUGAUGUCUAAUUCCCUUAUAUUCAUCUGGUGAUAGCCUGAUCGGAGGUCAAUCUUAGAGAAUACUAUUGCUCCCUGAAGCUGAUCAAACAAAUCCUCAAUACAGGGUAGUGGAUACUUGUUCUUCACUGUCACCUUGUUCAACUGUCUGUAUUCAAUGCACAUUCUCAUUGUGCCAUUCUUCUUCUUUACAAAUAGGACCGGUGCACCCUACGGUGACACACUCGGGCAAACAAACCCCUUAUAUAGGAGUUCCUGAAGCCGUUCCUUCAACUCCUUCAACNNNNNNNNNNNNNNAUUCAAUUGCCUGUAGUCAAUGCACAUUCUCAUUGUGCUAUCCUUCUUCUUUACAAAUAAGGCUGUUGUACCCCACGGUGACGCACUCGGGCGAAUGAAACCCUUAUCUAGAAGUUCCUGAAGUUGUUCCUUCAAUUUCUUUAGCUCGGUCAGUACGAUAGGGAGGAAUAGAGAUGGGCUGAGUGCCCGGCACCAGAUCAAUACCAAAGUCGAUAUUCCUAUCCGGCAGCAUACCCAGCAGGUCCGCUGGAAACACAUUAGGGAAAUCCCUCACAAAGGGAACUGAAUCAAGACAAGGAGACUCAACUUCAACAUCUCUAACAAAAUCCAACUACGAUAGACAACCUUUCCCAGCCAUCUGGUGGGCCUUUAAGAAAGAAAUCACCCUGCUGGGCACAUAAUCAGUCACGCCUCUCCACUCGACCCUCAAAAUAUCCGGUAUAGCCAACGUAACUGCAUUGGCAUGACAGUCCAGAUAGCAUGAUACGGAGAUAGCCAAUCCAUACCCAGAAUCACGUCAAAAUCCACAAUAUCUAAUAAUAUCAAGUCAACUCGGGUCACUAGACCCCCAAUAGUCACCAUACACGAUCGAUAUACAUGAUCCACAGUAACAGUAUCACCCACCGGGGUAGAUACGUGCACAGACAAGGCAAGACAACCACGGGUCGUACCCAAAUAAUAAGUAAAAUAUGAAGAUACAUAGGAAUAGGUAGAUCCGGGAUCAAAUAAGACCAAAGCAUCCCUGUGGCAGACUAAGAUAAUACAUAUGAUUAUAGCAUCUGAUGCGAUGGCGUCCCUCACAUCCGGAAGAGCAUAAAAUUGAGCCUGACCACCGCCAGUACGGUCAUCACCCUUGGGGAGACCUCUGGCUACUUGAUCUCCGCUCCUAGCUGACUGAGUGGGUGCUGAUGAAACAGGUGCAGAAUACGAUGGCCGAUCCCUCUGCUGAGACUAUCUACCACGGAGCCGAGGAUGCUAUCUCCUCAUGUGACCCAACUCACCGCACUCAAAGCAACGACAUGGAGCUAGAGAAAGGGGCUGAUAAGAACCCCUCGAUGCAGAUGAACCCUGGGCUGAAGAAGCAGGAGUAGAACUUCAAGCUAGAAGGGCGCUAAGUGAAGACUGGCCAUGCUUAUAACCCUGAUGGCCAUGGACUGAAGAAGCCCUACUGGACUCUUUGCGACCUGACUGAGGAGGUCUAAAGGAAAUACCUCUGCUGCGCUGGAACUGGCCCAUAGAUGGAGCACCACUGAAGCUACCUGAACCUCAAGGCCUCUUAGCCUCCCUCUCCUCACGCUCGCGACGACGAUCUGUCUCUAUCUGACGAGCCAUAUCAACUACCUCCUCAAACGAGGCAGCCGCAACUCUCUCUCUCUCUCUUUCUCGCCAUCAAAAUGCGAAUGGGAUAGUUGAGGCCAUCCACGAAUGAAUUAAUCCUUUCGCGAUCAAUCGGGAUCAUCCAAGUAGCAUGUCGAGCUAGCUGCGUAAACCUCAACUCGUAUUAGGUCACAGUCAUGUCCCCCUGAACCAACCACUCAAACUGACGAGGCAGCUCCUUCCUGCGAUACUACGGCACAUACUUAUCCAGAAAUGGAGUGGAGAAUUGCUGCCAAGUAAAUGCAGGCCCUGAGAACUUGAAAGUAGUAAAAGUUUCCCUACUCGACGCCAAUAUCCCUGCAGUUCGGAGCAUACGCUGAUACUUGUCCAGAAAUCCCUGGGCAUCCUCGCCUUCUGUACCACUAAACGUCGGAGGCUAAAGCCUACCAAACCUCUCCAAUCGACGCUGCUCGUCAUCUGGCAUAUCCGGAAGAAAAAAAAUCCUAAGCUGGUGCGACUGGCACAACUGGGGCAACUGGAGCAACUGGUGCAACUGGAGCAAUUGGAUCAAUUGGAGCAAUUGGUGCAACUGGAGAAACUGGUGCAACUGGUGUCUACAAUCACUGGACACCCUGCUCGGAUGAGCGAGCAGCGUGGGUCUGCUGACCACCCUCGGUCUAAGAAGUAGCUGCUGUAGUAGUGGAUGAUACGGCCUGAGCCAGGCCAGUGCAGACGAAUAGGAUCUGAGCCAAAGCCUCUGAAAACUAGGAUUCACAAUAGGCACUGUCGGUGCCUGAACAGGUGCUGCUGGAGCAUCUACAGCUGGAGGGUGGUCCUGGACCUGGGCAACUGGUGGAUCUGCAAGUGCUGCCCCUACUGGUCCGCCUUGACCACGAUCGCCACCACGGCCCCUUAAGGGUGCCAAAGGUGGUCGUCUGCCACAUCCGGUAGCACGGGUUCUCGCCAUCUGUAAGAGAAUAGAAUACAAAAAGUUUAGCCCCCGGACCAACAACAUAGCACGACAAGAAUUUCAAGACAGUGAAGUAUUUCCUAAAGGUUCUAUAGCCUCCCGGGGAUAGAUACGGACGUCUACGUAUCGAUCCGUGAGACUCUACUAACUGGCUUAUACCUCGUAAGGCGUAGUAACCUAGGCUCUGGUACCAACUUGUCGCGACCCAAAACCCGGUCGUGAUGGUGCCCAACCAUACAACUAGGAAAGCCUGACCAAUUACCUCAUAAGAACCCAAUCCGAUAACUCAUUACCUACAAUUUAAGAGAAUUUAACAGUUUAAAAAUAAUAAGUAGAAGUUUAAAAUAAAAUAGUAUGGGACAUACCAAGAUAUCUGACAAAAAACACUCCCACAGAAUAUGGGGUCACGAGUCUAGAGCCUCUAAAACAACUGAGUAACAAUAUUUGAAAAUGUAUAAAGUCUAGAGAGUGAAAAUAAGACUGAAAUAGAGGGGAUAAGUUGGGUUCUGCGAACGUCAGGCAGCUACCUCGACAACUCUGAAUAAACUCCCAAAGACAGCGACUGCUCAGCUAAUUCUCCUGAACACCUGAAUCUGCACACAAGGUGCAUGGAGUGAAGUGAGUACUUCCAAAUUAGCGGUAAUAGACAUGUAUAAUGACUUGAAAGUAAGAAAUUCCGAAAUACCACAACGUAAAGCUGAAACUAUCCUGGUAUCACAUUUAACGAUAAAAAAAUAAAUCAAUGAUAGACAGAUAUCAAUGUAUUAAUGCAAUGCAAUGCACAUGACCGUUGUGCGAUACAGCCCGAUCUAUUGGGUACCCGCGCUCACUGUGGAUGUACAAACUCCGGAGGGGCUCAUAUAGCCCAAGCGCAAUGACAGAGUAGAUUAAGUUGCGGCAUGCAGCCCGACCCAAUCAAUGACAGAGUAUAUAUAUAUAGGCAAGCCACAUGGGCACAAUCAAUUACCAUUUUUGAUUCCAUUUAACAGGUAUUAUAGUUUAAGUGAUUAAAGCCUUAGAAGAUUUCUACUCAUUUUUAGAUAAUAUUUAACUCAAGAUUGAUAUCAUGGAACAUGGUCAAUAUCAUGGAAACAGUGAUAAUAAUCCCUAAGGAAUCCAAGUAGUUGGCUUACAGCCCAAUUAUACUCAUAACAAUCCAAGUAGGAUGUUUACUAGCCAAUUCCUAGGCAUAUAGCACAAUAUAGACCUUGAUCAGACGGACUAAGCCAUAGUCCCUCCCAUAAACGACCCCACACUCACAGUAGAGUAUGUGUCUUGCCUCAAUACAGCAUCACAAUGUGAGACACCGGGGUUUCAAAAUCUCAGGUCAUCAUCUACAUCUACUACCCACCUCAAGCGGGCCGUAGACUAGUCCGCAAUGCUCUUUCCUUUUGAAUCGGCCUCCUCGCGCGUCGAAUCAAGUCAAAAUUACAACGAAUACGUUAUGAUAUUAUAAAGAAACAUAACUCAAUCGAAAUUACUCGAAAAAUACUAAAACAUCACGAAGUUGGUAAAACCCGAGCCCCGGGCUCACUUCUCAAAAAAUACGAAAGUCACAUCAACGGAUUCCUCAACUCUCCAGGAGUCCGUACAUAUAAAGUUUACCAAAAACGAAGUUGAAAUGGCCCUUUCAAAUUCCCAAAAUUCGUUUUCAAAAUCAGGCCCAAGUUCUUCACACUUUAAACUCACUUUCAUGAAUUUGAGUGUUGAUUCUUCGGUAAAAAUGAUAUUUCUAAGUUAAGAGACUCACCUCCAAUCAAUACCGUCGAAAACCUUCUUCAAAUCGGUCAAAAAGCUCUCUUGGCGGAGGAAAAAUGGUGGGAAGUUAUAUGGGUCGCGGAUGAAAUAACAUAUAAAAACCCUUCUGCCCAGGCAAAUUUACUUCUUCACGAACGCGAUGCCCAACCGCAAACGCAAAGGACAUAGUAUCCUCCUUCAUCACGAGCGCGGACCCCAGAUGCGAACACGAAGCACACGGGCCAGAGGGUCCCAAACCCCUUCUAUGGAAACGCGAAAGGAAUGCCUUGGAAUCCCUCAAGCAUCCAAACCCUACGCGUAUGCGACCACCACACGCGAAUGCGAAAGCCAAGGGAACUCAGGACAACACGAACGCGAAGGCUAAACUGGUCUGCAACAACUCCUACAAUUUCUGCACCAAUUCUAAGCAACGAAAUCCCCGUUCGACCAUCUGAAACCACUUCGAGGCCCUCAAGACCUCAACCAAAAUCAAAAACAUGUUUUAAUACCUCAUUCAAACUUGCCCAGGCCAUAAAAACACUAUUAUUAACAUCAAAAUCAUCAAGUUACCACGGAUUCAAGCCUAAGUUAAACUAAAACUUUCAAUACUUGCAUUAGAUCAAAAACCCUACGAAAACACCUCCGAAAGACUUGAAACAUUGCUCACAUAUCCAAAAUCACCUAACGGAUCUACUGCAACUCUCGGAAUUCCAUUCCGACUCUCGGGUCAAAAUCUCACCUAUCAACCAGAAUUUGCCAAAAUUCAAACUUAGCCAAUUCAAGCCUAAUUCUACAUCGGACCUUCAAAUUCAAUUCUGAUUGCACUACUUAGUCACAAAUCAUCAACCGAAACUAGUCGAAUCAUCGAAAAUCCAUUCCGAUCCCUCUAACUAAUAAAUCAACGUCCGGUUGACUUAUCCAAGCUAACCUUCUCUUAAAGAGACUAAUUGUCUCAUUUCUAACCGAACUCUAUCCGAAUUACUUAAAUUUACCAAACACAUAUAAUGAAACAUAUAGAAACACGAAACGGGAAAAACUGGACAGUGACUCACGUGACGACGGAUCGGGUCGUUACACGUAAUUCUCAGAGUUAUGUAAUUAGGUAGUUCAAGAAUAAUUACAUAAUUAGAUAUUUUUUAUUUUAAAAUAGAAGUUAUAUAAAUUAUAUAAACUUACUUUAAUAUAUAUAUAUAUAUAGGAAAUAUUAAAUUUUAUUAUUUAAUAAUAUCACUUACCAAGUUAUAAUUAAAUAUAUACUAAUAUAACUUACCGGCUCUCGGUGGUUAAGUCAAUAAAAAAAGGUGAGAAUAUGUUAAUUUACUGUGAUUUAAUUUAGUGAUAAUAAGAGUGUAUAUAAGAAUAUGUGCCAUGUAUUCAUCCAGUUGGUGUAAACAUGAAUUGCGAGUAAGUUUUUUCUAUUAUAACCUCUACACUUGAUUUAAACUGUCUCAUUAUGAUGAUUAACCCAAAUGUAAGGUCGAGCUGCAAUUUGAGAAUUUGGGAAAGGAAAAGGUAUCAGGAUUUAAUCCAAAUUAUAUGUUCUUGAGUUCAACAACUUAUAAAAGUUGCAACUCAAGAGACUAGCUAGUUCGCAACCUUUAGUAAAUUUUGGUACAUGAUUAUUCACAACUAUUUAGUUUUUUCAUUAUUACUGAAACAUUAUGCAGUUAGUCCACUGCCGAAACUAUUUAUAUCCGAUAUGCAAAAAUAUAUAAAAUUUAUAUUAUUUUUUUCUAUUACAUACCGAAAUAUAUAUAUAUAUAUAUAUAUAUAUACAUUUUUCAACUAGUAUUAUUUUGAAAGCGACUAUACAGUAUCAAUCCCCGAAAAAUUAUCACAACCCAAUUUCCAAAUCCGAUCGUGAUGGCGCCUCUCGUGAAGACAAGGCCAACCAGACCGUUUCAGAAUAUCACUUAAAGUAGUUAGUCAGUUAUAUAACAGUUUGAAUAUGAAUUAAUGAUAUUAGUCAAUAUAAUUACAACCUAAUACAGCCCGACCGAGGUGUCACAAGUCACGAGCAUCUAAUGAGUAGGGACACUACUAUUGGUCCAACAAUAUAUAUAUACAAGGUAAAACUAGAACUCAAAGUCGAAAUGCGGUGCCGCGAACGCUGGCGGUCACCUUGCUAAACUACCAAAAUAUGGCCUUCGGUCUUGCUAAUAACCCGCUACCGGGUGAACAAUACCUGCAACUGCACGCAAGGUGCAUGGAGAAAAGUGAGUACUUCCAACUCAGUGGUAAUAAGAGAGAAUAAUAUCUGAGCGAUAAGAAAACACGUAUGAGCACACCAAACUGCUGUAAAGACAGAUCAACCCUUUUUAAGAAAAACCAAAAUACUUUGAAAAUUGAGCGAUAAGAAAACCCGUAUAGGCACACCAAAAUGCAAUAAAAGACAGUACAACCCUUUGAGAAAAACCGUAAUACUGUGAAAUCCUUUAGAAAAACUAAAGAUCUCUUUUACAAAUUUUCCUUUUUCUCUUUCAACAGCCAAGCAUAUGAAUGCUAUAUCAAUUAGAGCAAGGCGGCUCAUAAUCGGUUCCUUGGGCAUAACACUCCUUAACAUAUCACACCAGGGUAUCUGGUCAACAAGGCAAGUAACACUAUGUAUGCAAAUGAUAUAUGAGUGCUAAAUAUCAUGCCACGCAGUACAAACAGGAAUGGAUGCAUGAAUGCAAUAAAAUGCAUAUGACCGCUACGGCGUGUAGCCCGAUCCAUUUGGGUACCCUACGCUCACUGGGGGUGUGUACAGACUCCGGAGGGGCUCCUACAGAGUGAAAAAAUGCUUCGGCGUGAAGCCCGAUCCAAUAUGAUGUUGCGGCGUGCAGCCCGAUCCAUGCGAUAAGCUACUACGGCGUGCAGUCCGAUCCAUGCGAUAAGCUACUCCGGCAUGCAGUCCGAUCCAUGCAAAUACAGCCCAAGCGCUAUAAUACUGCAGCGUGCAGUACGAUCCAUAUAAUAUACUACUGCGGCGUGCAGUCCGAUCUAUAUAACAUACUACUCGGCGUGUAGUUAGAUCCAUAUAAUAUACUACUGCGGCGUGCAGUCCGAUCCAUGCAAUAUACUACUGUGGCGUGUAGUUCGAUCCAUGCAAUAUACUACUCCGGCGUGCAGUCCGAUCCAUGCAUGUGUAUGCAUAUGCGCACAUAACACUCCAGGCCUGAAAGCCUCCUUAAAUAACACUCGAGGCCUGAAAGCCUCCUUACAUCACUCUUCAUGCCCUUACAUAUGGACCUCGGCCUCAAUCAAUCCAAAAUUGUCAAAAGCCCCUAGGGCAUCAGUAAAAUAAUAAUACUCAACUCAAACAAUAAUUCAAAUAUCAGUUAAGACUCCAAGUUUGAGAAAAGAUAUAGUUGAGUUCAUGAAACAGUGUAAAUCACAUGGACUGAGUUCAAAUAAUAUUUCAAAUACAAAUAUCAGUUAAAACUCCAAGUUUGUGAAAAAUAUAGCUGAGUUAAUGAAACAGUGUAAAUCGCAUGGACUGAGUUCAAAUAAUAUUUUAAAUAGAAAGGAAAACAGUGAUGAUAGUUCAUAAAGAGUUCAAAUAAUCGGCAAUAAGCCCCAGGUAUUGCAAUGAGCCAAAGUCAUAAUGAUAACAACAAAUCAUUUACAAUUUCGUGGUAAAAACCAACAAUCGGGACGGACCAAGUCACAAUCCCUAUCGGUGCUCUACCCCACGCUCAGGUCUAGCGUGCAAGUCACCACAAUACGGCACUAAGGUGUGGAAAUCCGGGGUUUCAAACCCUCAGGAUAUCAUUCCCAAGUAUUACUUACCUCGAACCAGUGAAAACUCUAGCCCGCGACGUCUUUUUUCCUCAAACCGGCCUCCACGCACGUCAAAUCUAACCAAAAUCGUAAUGAGUUCAUUAUAAUAUGAUAAUGGGACAACACCCAAUCGAAAACAAUUGAAUUAUAGAAAGAACCUCGAAACUAGAAAAAUUCGAGCACCGAGCCCGCUUCUCGAAAAUUACAAAACAAAUAUUUUUUAGAAUCCUCGUCUCGCCACGAGUCCGUACAUAUAGAGUUCAUCAAAAUCAGAUUUCAAAUGGGCCACCAAAUCCCAAAUUUACAUUUCAAAAACCAAGCCCUAGCUUCUUCAAUUUUAUGCCCAAAUUCAGAGAAUUAGUGGAUGAUUCUUCGAUUAAGAUGAUGUAUCUAAGCCACGAGACUUAUCUCCAAUCACAUCCCGUCGAAAUACGCUUCAAAAUCUACCAAAGAGCUCUCAAGGGGGUGCAAAAAUGGUGGAAAUAUGAUUGGGUUCACGACUGAAAUUAUCCUUAAAAACAUUCUGACAAGCUGAACGACCCUUCUUCGCGAAAGCGAGGUCCUUCCACGUUCGCGAUGAACAAAAUCCACUGGGCCACAAUUCCUUCUUCGCGUACGCGGUGACUAACCGCGAAUGUGGUAGCCAAAAUGCCUGUUGUCCAACUUUACCCUUCGCGAACGCGGCCCCUUCACGCGAACACGAAGGUGUGGGCUCCUUCCUCUACGCGAACACGGCCCCUCAAGCGAACGCGCAGUACUAAACCAGGUAUUUCCCAAACGAUCCCUGUGCGAACGCGUCCAGCCUAUGCGAACACGAAGGCCAAUGGACCCCAAGCCUACGCGAACGCGAGGCACCGCUGAAAACGCGAAGGACAAGCUCGACCUGCAACAGCUGCUGCAAUUCCUGCAACACAAACCAACAUCCAAACUCUCUGUUAGCCAUCCAAAACCACCCGAGGCCCUCGGGACCUCAACCAAAAGCACAAAUAGGUCCUAAUACCUCACUCAAACUUGCUCAAGCAAUAAAAUCACAAUCAUAAACACCAAAAUCAGCAAAUUAGCACANNNNNNNNNNNNNNNNNNNNNNNNNNNNNNNNNNNNNNNNNNNNNNNNNNNNNNNNNNNNNNNNNNNNNNNNNNNNNNNNNNNNNNNNNNNNNNNNNNNNNNNNNNNNNNNNNNNNNNNNNNNNNNNNNNNNNNNNNNNNNNNNNNNNNNNNNNNNNNNNNNNNNNNNNNNNNNNNNNNNNNNNNNNNNNNNNNNNNNNNNNNNNNNNNNNNNNNNNNNNNNNNNNNNNNNNNNNNNNNNNNNNNNNNNNNNNNNNNNNNNNNNNNNNNNNNNNNNNNNNNNNNNNNNNNNNNNNNNNNNNNNNNNNNNNNNNNNNNNNNNNNNNNNNNNNNNNNNNNNNNNNNNNNNNNNNNNNNNNNNNNNNNNNNNNNNNNNNNNNNNNNNNNNNNNNNNNNNNNNNNNNNNNNNNNNNNNNNNNNNNNNNNNNNNNNNNNNNNNNNNNNNNNNNNNNNNNNNNNNNNNNNNNNNNNNNNNNNNNNNNNNNNNNNNNNNNNNNNNNNNNNNNNNNNNNNNNNNNNNNNNNNNNNNNNNNNNNNNNNNNNNNNNNNNNNNNNNNNNNNNNNNNNNNNNNNNNNNNNNNNNNNNNNNNNNNNNNNNNNNNNNNNNNNNNNNNNNNNNNNAUCAAACGCUCAUCCUCGAGCGUACCCAGAGUUGUACUAGAAGCAACCCAAUAACUGAAUGACCUUACCAAGCAUAUACUCGGGGUGAUAUCACGUCACCCUAUAUCACAUAGGUCCGAAAACACAAUAUAGCCGGAAUUGCACACUCAAUCUAGACCAUAAACCACAUUGCACUUCCUGAAACCAUGCACCAGAUCAGAACCUCACAUCAAUACUCAGAAUUAACCCGAACCAGCUAUAAUAACCCACACCUGCAACCUCAUGUAAAUUCAUACAAUAUACCACACAUUCCAAAACUCGGAACGAUAGCAUCUAUUCCCAGAAAUUGCCCACAAUAACUAAACACUGAUAGAAAAACCUUUUUAUUAACUAAAGUCGUAUCCCAACACCUUCAUAUACUGCCAACGACAAUUGAAACACGCGAUAAACCAAACCCAUCUCUCAGAUCACGCAUUCAUGAGUCAAUUUCCUUUCUGACUGAUACUACAACAGAUUUAGGAGCCAAACCUCGAUAUUACCUUUCUAACAAGCUGAAAGCAAAUAUGCUCGUAUUCAUUAAUGACCCAAUGAUCACCUCGAAUCUAACACACCACUUCUGGCGAUAUGAUACCUCAAUACAGGCCUAAGCCACAAUUUGCAUACUACACGCGCCAAUAAGAAACAGUCUACACAUACCCAAAUCAGGACAAAUGACUCCAUCGGAAGAGUUAUACCUCAAGCUCAUCAAUACCCUUACAAAAACCAAGUUGAGACCCAAUCUCACAUUAUAGGAAUAGAGUACCUGAAUUCCUCCUUGAAAGGUCAUAACAUCACGUGCCUUGCCACAACGCGCGAUUCUAUCCAAACACUUUAACCCAUUAAGCACCUCAAGUCACCACGCUCAACAUAGACAGCCACACACGGAUUGAGGUCUGAAACCAAGCAAUCCAUCACACUCACGGUGAAGCAAGUAAUAUACACUAUUCAAUCCGGAAAGGACACAACCAAUGCGUUAUUCGCCAAGCAACACCCAAUAUAGACUUUCCUCAGAUACCAGGAAGCAAAGCAUACAAUGUAACAUGUAGAAAACUAUUCUCCACAUCACACUGUUGCGGUGCGCAACCCGAUCCUGAUAACAUACUUGUGGCGGCGUGCCACUCGAUGCAGAUACCAUAUCUAUGGCGGCGUGCCACCCGAUUCGCACAUAUAUCUCACAAAAGGAGAUGCAGAUCGAGUCAAAUUUGCUCAUUACAAUAGACACAUAUAGCCUCAUGCCCGGCCAAAAGAAACACAUCCAUAAAGUCCUUCAAUACCGGAACUGAAUCACUGGUAGAAACUUCUACACUAACAUCCGCCAUGAAGGCCCAAGUAACAAGGCAAUACUUGCCAACUGUCCGCUGCUCUUUGGAAUAUAAACUACUCUGCUAGAAUAAUAAUUCGACGCACUUUACCAGUCUAGACAACCUGAAAUUGGAACAACCAGUCUGCAAUCUAAUAUCAUAACCCAAAUUAACAUACCAAGCAAAGAAAGAUCCACUCAGACCUCCAUUUUCCAACAACUGCUAUACGAUGUCACUGCACACGACCCACAACAACCGCAUGGUCGGAUCACGGGAAUUUCUAGUCUCCAACACAUAUAACGCAUGAAUCACUAUGCCUGAUCCCACACUCCGUCGUACGACUAGACGAUGCAAAUACACACGACCCAUGACCACUGCAUGGUCGGAUCACAAGAACUUCUAGUCUCUAAAACAUAUAACGCACGACUCACAAGGCCUGAUCCCACACUCCGCCGUACGAAUACACAACACACAUCAAAUAUCCAUUCAUACCACAAAAGAUAUUCAAAAUUUCAUGCGCCAUCAACAAACUCAAAUAUUUACAGUCGAUCCAACAAGAAAAUGUCGCAAUACUACUGACGUAUCAUCAAUAUAAAUCACAUUUUUCAUCUGAAUAUCGAUUAUUUACUCACCUAUAGGUGUCCGUGCUGCGCAAGAAUUUAACGAUUUCCCAUUAUGAACUAAACCAAAACCUUGAACAUGCAAAUAUCAAGUCUACAUAUCAUAACACAUAGACCAUACCACACUAGGAUAACAUGAGGACUUCUAUCUCUCUCUUGUGCCGCAGACAUCGAUGCACUCAACUAGUCAAGAACUUUUAUGAUCCCAUUUAGGAGAAAAAGUAUUACACACUCCACGCUUCGCAUACCCAUAGGAAAUAUACUCAUUUUCAAACCACGGUAAAACACAUCAAGAACUCUUUCUCCCAAUUCCACUGCACAAGCUAAACUGCUGGGACUGAAUACUUCUACCCAAACCAAGCUAAGCAGCUGCUAGCACGCAAGAGCUUUUCUGCACAAUUCCUGUAAGGCUCAUUGCCUCAAACACAUACACCGAGGUCUCAGGCCCGAGUACGAAAUUUUUCCGUGAAAUUAUUUUCUGAAAAUUCUUAAGAAAAAAUGAAAAUGAGAUUUGAUCAAAAGUAAUGGUAUCGGGCUCGUAUUUUGUUCUGACACCAGGUACAGGUCUUAUUUGUGGUUUAAGCGCUAUAUGUAAAGUUUGGUUGAAAACGUACGUCAUUUGACGUGUUUCGGACAAAAAUGGAAAUAUUAAAAGUUUUGAACUUUGAAAUGAAAAUCAUGAGUUUUGAAGGUUGAUUCUUUUAUUUUGAUGUUAUUUUGGUAAUUUGAUCGCAUGAGUAAGUCCGUAGGAUAUUUUUAAGGUUGUGUGCAUGUUUGGGUAGGAGCCCCGAGGGCUCGGGUGAGUUUCAGAUAUGUGUUAGGUCCAUUUUGGCAUUUGAAAUAGCUGGUAUGAGCGCUUGGGAGUGAUUUUGGGGGAGGUUCGAGAUGUUUUGCACUUAGGAAAUUGCAGAAAAUCACUUGUGUUGGUGCUUAGCUGAAUCCUUCUUCACGAUUGCAGACUCCAUCCCGCGUUUUCAUAUCUUUGGGCUUCCACUUCUUCGCGGUCACGUAGCCCCCGCCGUGUUCUCGUACUUACAGUCCCUCCUCAAUCGCGAACGCAUCCCUUCUCACGCGUUCGUGUGGGCCAAGUUCCAGGACCCCUGAAAUUCCUUCUUCGCGAUCGCAUUAUUCCCAAUAGCGAUCGCGAUAGUGCUAGUUUUCCCUUCAUCGCGAACGCAUCCCCUAUGUUGCGAUCUCGUAGGACAAUUUCCUUCAGUGAUUUAACUAAGUCCAGAACAGUAUUUUUUGGAGAUACUUCAAAAAUUCUCUUGCGAGCCUCCUCCUACACUCUCCAUUGACGAACUCCAAGCCUCUACUUCACCAUAACGCUUUGGGUAAGUAAUUACAACUUCAUUCUUCCAUUAUUUCUUCAUUUAAUCAUCAACUUUUUAGCCCUAAAUCAUAGAAUCAUGGUAGAAAUUAGGGCUUUUGGGUAGAGUUAUAUUUUUGAGAAUUUUGGGCAACUUAACCUCAAUUUGGGGUAGAAUCUUACAAAAAAUCAUAUAUUUGGACUCGCGGGGUUAUAGGUAAUCGUAAUUUGGUUUCAGCCUCGAGUUUGGACCAUGUGGGCCUGGUGUCAGAUUUUGGUGUUUUUGGAAGAAAGUUAGGAAAUGCAUUUCUAAGCUAGGAAAUUGUAUCCUUGUGCUAUUAUUNNNNNNNNNNNNNNNNNNNNNNNNNNNNNNNNNNNNNNNNNNNNNNNNNNNNNNNNNNNNNNNNNNNNNNNNNNNNNNNNNNNNNNNNNNNNNNNNNNNNNNNNNNNNNNNNNNNNNNNNNNNNNNNNNNNNNNNNNNNNNNCGGGUCGAAUUCUAGAGGAAAGGCAAUUGUUGAGCUUUGAGUUGCUAUUUUCGGAUUUGAGGUAAGUGUUCGAUCUAACUUUGGCUUGAGGGAAUAAGAUUAGAAUAAUUUUUUCUAUGUUCUAUGUAGAUUCGGUGUAUAGGUAUGGUGACGGUUAACUAUGCGCCCGAGCCUUGCAUGACCGCGAGUCAUAAUUGCUAUUAAAAAAGUCAAAAAAAGUAGAAAAUUGUGAUAAUUACUUGUUAAAUGAACUAUGAAGUGAUGGUUGAGAAGCAAAUGAACCAAAGAGGGAUUUUUGGUAUUUUUCUCUUGCCGAGACCUAUUGUUGAGCUGUAUUCCCUUGUCGGGACUUAUUGUUGAGUUAUUCUCCCUUGCCGGGAUAUUUUAUCUUUUUAUAUAUUCCUUUCCCGUUUGGUUGUGACCAUUGAUUGGGUGAGCAAGAGAGAGAUUAUGCACGAAGGGUCUUUCUGUGCCAUGUUUCUUGAUUAUUUGAGAACGAUGCGUCAUUCCGUGCCUUGUGAUUUGAGAGUUAUGUGAGGAAAGCACGAACGGUGAUACCGUGGACUAUAUAUUGAGAGUAAAAUCACGAAGAGUGGUGUUGUGCAAUUGUUGAUUCAUUGGCUUUUCUCUAUUUAAUGUUAUAUAUUCAGUUCCAUUUCUUGUUCCUUUGACUUAUAAUUGAACUAUUAUACCCCCAGCAUGUCCCUUCCCAUUUAUCUGUUUAAAUUUGUUAUCUUUCUGGUAGUGCACUUAUAUCUGUACAGGUUGAUUGUGGUAGGUUCGGUUUAGCCUCGUCACUAUCUCGCCGGGGUUAGGCCGGGCACUUACCAGCAUAUGGGGUCGGUUGUGCUGAUUCUACGCUUCUGUGCCUUUUUGUGCACAUGUCAGGACACAGCUUACAGAUCGCAGUAGUAGUUAGGGAGCGAUCCUUCAGUCCAGAGACUCCGAGGUAGUUCGCUGGCGUUCGCGGGCC